AGAUUGAACGCUGGCGGCGUGCUUAACACAUGCAAGUCGAGCGGUAACGCGGGAGCAAUCCUGGCGACGAGCGGCGAACGGGUGAGUAAUGCUUGGGAAUCUGCCCAUUAGUGGGGAACAACCAGCCGAAAGGUUGGCUAAUACCGCAUACGCCCUACGGGGGAAAGCGGGGGAUCGAAAGACCUCGCGCUAAUGGAUGAGCCCAAGUCGGAUUAGCUUGUUGGUAGGGUAACGGCCUACCAAGGCGACAAUCCGUAGCUGGUCUGAGAGGACGACCAGCCACACUGGGACUGAGACACGGCCCAGACUCCUACGGGAGGCAGCAGUGGGGGAAUAUUGGACAAUGGGGGGCAACCCUGAUCCAGCGACGCCGCGUGUGUGAAGAAGGCCUGCGGGUUGUAAAGCACUUUUAGUGGGGAUGAAAAGCUCAGGGUUAACACCUCUGGGUCUUGACCUAACCCACAGAAAAGCACCGGCUAACUCUGCGCCAGCAGCCGC
rnacentral:rRNA from 1 species